CAAUGUCGGUGCCUGCGGUGGCGGAAAGACGGAGUAGUCAAUCUUUUGUCUGAGUUAUUUGGUUGAAAUGGUGCGUAGGCGUACUAUUAAGUCAGUAGUGGAAUCUUGCAGCUUAACUGUGAAAACUGCUAUUGAUACUGAUGGGCUGGAGUGAGGUUGUAGUAGCUGGAAUGUGUGGUGUAGCGGUGAAAUGCAUAGAUAUCACACAGAACACCGAUCGCGAAGGCAAGUUACUAAGCCUAUACUGACGCUGAGGCACGAAAGCGUGGGGAGCAAAUAGGAUUAGAUACCCGUGUAGUC
rnacentral:rRNA from 1 species